ACGGAGGGUGGGAGCGUUGUCCGGAAUCACUGGGCGUAAAGGGCGCGUAGGUGGCUAUGUAAGUCACUUGUGAAAUCCCGGGGCUCAACCCCGGGUCUGCCGUGCCGACUGUCAAACUCGAGGGCUGUAGAGGCAGACGGAAUUCCGGGUGUAGCGGUGGAAUGCGUAGAGAUCCGGAGGAAGACCGGUGGCGAAGGCGGUCUGCUGGGCAGUUUCUGACACUGAGGCGCGACAGCGUAGGGAGCAAACAGGA
rnacentral:rRNA from 1 species